AGUUUUGCUCAGUGGCAGUAUCAUAGCCAAUGAGGUUUAUCUGAGGCGCGAUUAUUGCUAAUUGGACAU
rnacentral:snRNA from 1 species